rnacentral:rRNA from 1 species
UUUCCAGACUCCUACGGGAGGCAGCAGUGAGGAAUAUUGGUCAAUGGGCGAGAGCCUGAACCAGCCAAGUCGCGUGAGGGAGUACUGCCCUAUGGGUUGUAAACCUCUUUUGUCGGGGAGCAAAAGCCGGACGUGUCCGGCUGUGAGAGUACCCGAAGAAAAAGCAUCGGCUAACUCCGUGCCAGCAGCCGCGGUAAUACGGAGGAUGCGAGCGUUAUCCGGAUUUAUUGGGUUUAAAGGGUGCGCAGGCGGAUUUUUAAGUCAGCGGUCAAAUCGUGGGGCUCAACCCCGCCCAGCCGUCGGAACUGCCGGGCUAGAGUGGGCGAGAAGUGCGCGGAAUGCGUGGUGUAGCGGUGAAAUGCAUAGAUAUCACGCAGAACCCCGAUUGCGAAGGCAGCAUACCGGUGCACAACUGACGCUCAGGCACGAAAGCGUGGGUAUCGAACAGGAUUAAAUACCCGCGUA